rnacentral:rRNA from 1 species
AUUGAACGCUGGCGGCAGGCCUAACACAUGCAAGUCGAACGAGUGGCGGACGGGUGAGUAAUGUCUGGGAAACUGCCCGAUGGAGGGGGAUAACUACUGGAAACGGUAGUUAAUACCGCAUACCAUCGGAUGUGCCCAGAUGGGAGUAGCUAGUAGGUGGGGUAACGGCUCCCCUAGGCGACGAUCCCUAGCUGGUCUGAGAGGAUGACCGACGAGACUGGACCUGGGACACGGUCCAGACUCCUACGGGAGGCAGCAGUGGGGAAUAUUGGACAAUGGGCGCAAGCCUGAUGCAGCCAUGCCGCGUGUAUGAAGAAGGCCUUCGGGUUGUAAAGUACUUUCAGCGAGGAGGCGUUACUCGCAGAAGAAGCACCGGCUAACUCCGUGCCAGCCGCCGCGGUAAUAC